UACGGGAGGCAGCAGGGGGGAAUAUUGCACAAUGGGCGCAAGCCUGAUGCAGCCAUGCCGCGUGUAUGAAGAAGGCCUUCGGGUUGUAAAGUACUUUCAGUCGUGAGGAAGGUGUUAAGGUUAAUAACCUUAGCAAUUGACGUUAGCGACAGAAGAAGCACCGGCUAACUCCGUGCCAGCAGCCGCGGUAAUACGGAGGGUGCGAGCGUUAAUCGGAAUUACUGGGCGUAAAGGGCACGCAGGCGGUUAAUUAAGUUGGAUGUGAAAUCCCCGGGCUUAACCUGGGAAUGGCAUUCAAGACUGGUUAGCUAGAGUCUUGUAGAGGGGGUUAGAAUUCCAUGUGUAGCGGUGAAAUGCGUAGAGAUGUGGAGGAAUACCGGUGGCGAAGGCGGCCCCUGGACAAAGACUGACGCUCGAUGUGCGAAAGCGUGGGGAGCAAACGAGGGAUUAGAUACC
rnacentral:rRNA from 1 species